rnacentral:rRNA from 1 species
GAUGAAAGCUAGCGGGAGGCCUAACACAUGCAAGCCGAGCGGUAUUGUUACUUCGGAAAUGAGAGAGCGGCGUACGGGUGCGUAACACGUGUGCAAUCUGCCUAUAUCUGGCGGAUAGCCUUUCGAAAGGAAGAUUAAUACUACAUAAAAUAUUGAAUGGCAUCGCUUAAUAUUGAAAGCUCCGGCGGAUAGAGAUGGGCACGCGAAAGAUUAGCUAAUUGGUGAGGUAACGGCUCACCAAGGCGAUGAUCUUUAGGGGGCCUGAGAGGGUGAUCCCCCACACUGGUGCUGAGACACGGACCAGACUCCAACGGGAGGCAGCAGUGAAGAAUAUUGGUCAAUGGGUGCAAGCCUGAACCAGCCAUCCCGCGUUAAGGACGUCUGCCCUAUGGGUUGUAAACUUCUUUUGUAUAGGUAUAAACCUACCCUCGUGAGGGUAGCUGAAGGUACUAUACGAAUAAGCACCGGCUAACUCCGUGCCAGCCGCCGCCGUAA